UACCCUAUUAUAUUAAAAUAAUUUCAGGUAGUACUGAAUUUUCAAGAAAACCUGUGUAGUUUGGCGGCAUUUAAUCACUUUAGAGGAACCUGUCUUUUAAUCGACACCCCACGUUAUUUCUUUCUUUUAUUAACAUCUUAUAUACCUCCAUCUUAAGGAUUAAUAUUUACAUUUUCCCCUAAAUAGAUUUCUAAAAAGUUAGGUAAAGGUGUAGACUAUAUAAAGGAUAAGAUGGGUUACUAUAAAAUUCAUUUAAGGAUUCUAGACAAAAGUUUUAGAUGAAAAAGGAUUUAUAAGUAUUUUAAGAAUAAUAAUCUUCCAUGAAAUUGAUAAACAAUGUGCACACA
rnacentral:rRNA from 1 species